rnacentral:lncRNA from 1 species
UCCAAAAGUCAUAGUGCCAUUUGAGAAUGCGGGAAGAGAUGUCGUUACAAGACCUAAACUGUCAAAACAGAACCACAAAAAGCAUCAAAUACAAGGAGACCAACACAUUACAACACUUCAAACUAAUGUACACAUAACCUGCUGCAGGACGCAUAUCGUCAUAUGCGUUGAAACAAUUCAUAGAUGUGGAAUGGGUUGCGCACAUGGCCUGAGAUUACCUGUUACAACAGAAGGUCUACAAAAGUUACAACCAUGAUUAAAAACCUUCGAUUCUAUAUGCUAAACAAAUACAAAAGUUUAGAGCCUAUCACUCUACAACAUGAAUUCUGUUGAGAUAAUGUUCACACGUUUAACCAAUUAAUUAAAUCUUUUGCAAUAAGGACACCUAGAUGAGGACAUAAUCCAUAUCAUACUUCUGUUUUGCAUAAAAGAACCAUCCAAUAUGUCGAUUAAAAGAAGAACUUUAUAUGACAGUAAAUACCAGUUUUCUUACCAUAAGAGUUGAAGGUUCCACAGCAGUAAAAACUAGACGGAAGAUUUAGUGAAGACGACCAUGCCUUUGGGAGAUUUUGGGACCACAAUCGAGUUCGUUUCCGAUCACGUCCAUCUUGAGGACCCCACCAAAUAUAAGAAUGAUUUGAUCCUAACUUAAUGAUUUUUGCAAUCCGAGCCAGCUCAUACUCAAAGGGGAAUUGCGGACUUGGCUCUAUAAAAGGGGGCGUGGAAAUCACUGAAAAGAGGCAGAUUCGGGCACCGUUACUCUACACACAAAAAAUCAAGAGGAUCAGAAUGGCCCGCAAGCACACCCCGAUCGCAGCAAGAGGAAGGAAACGCAACCGUUACCCAGCGUGAAUCUCCUCACAAGGGCACAUUAAAGCUGGAAAAGAAGGAAAAAGCUAUGUUAUUCUGAACAACCAUACAUACGAAAAGGGGAAGAAAAGUUACGGACUCAAAGCAAAAGAAUAAAAUCCAUAAUCAUUUACCUGAGGUAUUGUUCUUGGUCACCGGAAUCCUGCCGGAGUUUUAACACUUCGAAAAGAUUUUUUCAUUUACCUUCUGAUUCAAACUUAUGAACACAAUGUAGCUGGGUUUAUUUUCCGCUUACAUUCUUGUUGAUUAUGUUGGUGAGUGUUUCAUCACUGAUUUAAGGUGAUAUCUUGAACUUAGAAUCAACGGAUACCGUAGAUUUAUAGCGUUUGUUUUGGUUUGCCCAUGAACUAGAUAAUGACUUUCUUUUAGGAUCGGUAUGUAUAUCUGGGUAUGUACUCCCUCCUUUCCUUUAUAAGUGUCACUUUUUUGCAAAAAAAAAAUGUUUCUUUUUAAUUGUCACUUGCAAAGUUUAAAGUAGUAUUAAUUGCAAUUUUGUCAAAAUUACCCCUAGAUAAUGAUUGCAGAGAGAAAAAGUAAAGUGAACGUAAUAAAUAAUUAAGGGUAUUAUAGGUAAAAGAAGAAUUAUUGUUUGAAAAGUAAUAAUAAUGAUUAGCUUCCUUGGUAUGUGUAAAAAGUCAAAAAAAUGACACUUAAAAAGGAACGGAGGGAGUAUGUUUUAGGUUCUGGUAAUGGCCAUGGUCGGACGAGAUCGUGGUUUAUCGUGUGUUUCACUUUUGAAAAUGCGGAGAGAUAGAGGAGAAGAGAGAUCGUUGGAAAUGAGUGGAUAUUAAUAAGUGAGCAAUGACACACUUGCUUUUAGUUUUUUCUUUCCAUUUCAGCAACAUUUCCCAUAAUUAAGGUUGUUUAAUAGUAAUAAAAUGAAUAAUCCGCACAUUAAUUGAGACAGGUGGGCGGUGGCCCUGUGGACUUCCCUAGUCUAUCAUUGAUUAGGGCCA